CGAGAGGACCCGCAGAUUCAGACAUUUGGUUCAUGUGCUUGCCUGAUAAGCCAAUGGUGCGAAGCUACCAUCUGAGGGAUUAUGACUGAACGCCUCUAAGUCAGAAUCCCGCCUGGAAAGCGACGAUGCAUUCGUGCCUCGGCCUCGAGAGGCGUAGCUAGACGGCCGCGUGGCCGUGGAAAGAGCCCGAUUCCGACCCGAGAGGCCGCGGCAAGAGGCGGCCUCGAAGUCGGUGGAUCCUCCUGCUCGAAAGGCGGGGUGCUAAACCAUUCGCAGACGACCUAGUUGAAGAUCGGGGUGUCGUGAUCACUAGAGCAGUACAUCUCACUGCGAUUUGUUGAGAGUAAGCCUCAAGAUCUGUCGGUUUGU
rnacentral:ncRNA from 1 species